UACGGGGGGGGCAAGCGUUGUUCGGAAUUACUGGGCGUAAAGGGCCCGUAGGCGGCCAACUAAGUCCGACGUGAAAUCCCCAGGCUUAACCUGGGAACUGCGUCGGAUACUGGAUGGCUUGAAUCCGGGAGAGGGAUGCGGAAUUCCAGGUGUAGCGGUGAAAUGCGUAGAUAUCUGGAGGAACACCGGUGGCGAAGGCGGCAUCCUGGACCGGCAUUGACGCUGAGGAGCGAAAGCCAGGGGAGCAAACGGG
rnacentral:rRNA from 1 species